GUUGAAAUAUGGGGACAUUUUCCAUGUCCCCAUAUUUCCCGCAAUGCUAUCGUGUUCUAGACCCUCCCAGCAUGUUCCCAGACCAAAAAUCUCUAAAGUCUUCAUUUGUCAAAUUUUCAGAAAAAGUGUGUGAAAGUGUGUGUAAUUUUUUGGGUCACUUUCGAUUUUGCCCCUAGUGGCCAUCUUUGCUAUUAUGACACACACACACACACACUUGUCCUCAUAUGUCAUAUGUCCUCAUAUGUCGUGUGGGGCAGAAACUCACACACUCCAACAUUUGAAAAACAUAUAAUCAUUACAGCAAUGAACACACUUUUGAAAUCUAAAUCAAAUAACACAUUUUCAACUGAUCUGAUGAUCUCAACCUUUUUUAUGUUAGUUUUAUCUAUUCAUUUGGUUUAUCUGGAGAGGAUUUGGGCUAGACAAUCAAUAAUAAAGGGAUUAUGGUGAUGAUUUAAUCGGUUUGAUUCAGUAUUUUACUGUAUUGGGCUUUUUUCUAUUCUGUUGUCUAAAAUACAAUGCCGCACAAUAAUUACUUUAAAUGUGCCUGAAAAAAAACCUUCAACCUUGAUUGCGACAAAGGCGAUAAUUCAAAUGGAAUUCAAACUACGUACAGUAUUUAAUAUUUUCAAAUGGUUACAAUAGCACAUGAUUUUGGUAUUUUUAUCUUUGGGACAAAUUUUGGAUUCAAUUGGGGAUUGUUUUUGGAGGUAUUCACUUCACAUUGUAUUCAAGAUGGUUACUUCCGCCCACUGUGAAGAGUCUCGGCGUCUGAUUGGUCCAAUUUUCAGUUAGGCGCCGCCUGAUUGGCCGUUGGAUGAUGUCUGAUCCUAACAGAUGGCUAAAUCACUAGUUAAUUAUUUUCCUCAUGGAAGUUAUACAGCUCACGUAUCACACUUAAUAUUGAAUAUAUAUAUAAAAAGGGUUUUCCAAAAGGACCAUUUAUAAUCGAAAUACAAAACUUCACACACGAUUUUGAGCACAACAGAGCGCUCAGUGAACAGCACUUCCGGGACCUGCAUCACCGGAGGGGGAUAUCUAUCUUGGCCACAAACCAUCUUUGACAGUCUUCGGCAGCAUGGUUGAAUCAGGCGCAUCAACACAUGAUAUAGACAUCGUGCCCAAAAGAAGAGCGAGACGUAAUCCUGAGGCUGAAGCUACCGAGUUUAUUUGAUCUGGAUGUGACAAGUCUUGUUUUAAGGCCCAGUGGAUCAAUGAUUGGAAAGACACCAACUGUUGAUGUUCUAUCUCAACAUUCUCCAGAUUCAUGUGACCGAUAAACCGACUUCAUCCCUCCAACAGACACCAACUGUUGGGGUUCUAUCUCAACAUUCUCCAGAUUCAGAUGUGAGCGAUAAACCGACUUCAUCCCUCCAACAGGUUAUUACAAGUCUAUUUUUACUAUAUCUGCUCUAAAUGUGACCCAACCUAUAUUUUGAAAGACAUUUAUUAAUUUUAAUCUCUCACAGAUCAGUUUAUAUGACAACAUUUUCGUAAGAGUACAUCCAUGUUAGUCAGUAAGGAGUUUGGAACUCAUGUUUAGCAAAACAGGAGAUGUUACAAGUCAACAACAUACAUUCUACAUGUGACCCCUCGUCAUGUCCUUAUAUUGUUUGAACCAAGAAAGACUUAGGUGUGUUUCAUAUAAGGUCCUCAUAUUUUCUAAACCACAUUAGUGUGUGUUACAAUGUUAAUGUCCAAGCUUUAAAAUGUGUGUCUCAAUUCAGGUCCUCAUAUUUUCUGAACCAGAUUUUAGUGUGUUUUAUAUUCUUAAUUAAUUGUCUAAGAGCUGAAACUCUGUAAUAAUCUUUACUAUUUAUCUGGCAUUGUAUGCUCAGAGUUUUAUCCACAAAAAGUGCUGAUAAUGUUAUAAUUAAUUAGUUCUGACAUUAUAUUUUUGUGUUUUGUUGCAGAAACCAACU